UACAGAGGGGGCAAGCGUUGUUCGGAAUUACUGGGCGUAAAGGGCGCGUAGGCGGCACGGCAAGUCAGGAGUGAAAGCCCGGGGCUCAACCCCGGAAUGUCUUUUGAAACUGCCGAGCUAGAGUGCGGAAGAGGCAACUGGAAUUCCCAGUGUAGCGGUGAAAUGCGUAGAUAUUGGGAAGAACACCUGAGGCGAAGGCGGGUUGCUGGGCCGACACUGACGCUGAGGCGCGAAAACCAGGGGAGCGAACGGG
rnacentral:rRNA from 1 species